GCCCAGCUUGCUGGGUGGAUUAGUGGCGAACGGGUGAGUAACACGUGAGCAACCUGCCCCUGACUCUGGGAUAAGCGCUGGAAACGGCGUCUAAUACUGGAUAUGUCCCGUCACCGCAUGGUGUGCGGGUGGAAAGAUUUUUCGGUUGGGGAUGGGCUCGCGGCCUAUCAGCUUGUUGGUGAGGUAAUGGCUCACCAAGGCGUCGACGGGUAGCCGGCCUGAGAGGGUGACCGGCCACACUGGGACUGAGACACGGCCCAGACUCCUACGGGAGGCAGCAGUGGGGAAUAUUGCACAAUGGGCGGAAGCCUGAUGCAGCAACGCCGCGUGAGGGAUGACGGCCUUCGGGUUGUAAACCUCUUUUAGCAGGGAAGAAGCGAAAGUGACGGUACCUGCAGAAAAAGCACCGGCUAACUACGUGCCAGCAGCCGCGGUAAUACGUAGGGUGCAAGCGUUAUCCGGAAUUAUUGGGCGUAAAGAGCUCGUAGGCGGUCUGUCGCGUCUGCUGUGAAAUCCCGAGGCUCAACCUCGGGCUUGCAGUGGGUACGGGCAGACUAGAGUGCGGUAGGGGAGAUUGGAAUUCCUGGUGUAGCGGUGGAAUGCGCAGAUAUCAGGAGGAACACCGAUGGCGAAGGCAGAUCUCUGGGCCGUAACUGACGCUGAGGAGCGAAAGGGUGGGGAGCAAACAGGCUUAGAUACCCUGGUAGUCCACCCCGUAAACGUUGGGAACUAGUUGUGGGGUCCUUUCCACGGAUUCCGUGACGCAGCUAACGCAUUAAGUUCCCCGCCUGGGGGAGUACGGCCGCAAGGCUAAAACUCAAAGGAAUUGACGGGGACCCGCACAAGCGGCGGAGCAUGCGGAUUAAUUCGAUGCAACGCGAAGAACCUUACCAAGGCUUGACAUACACGAGAACGGGCCAGAAAUGGUCAACUCUUUGGACACUCGUGAACAGGUGGGUGCAUGGUUGUCGUCAGCUCGUGUCGUGAGAUGUUUGGGUUAAGUCCCGCAACGAGCGCAACCCUCGUUCUAUGUUGCCAGCACGUAAUGGUGGGAACUCAUGGGAUACUGCCGGGGUCAACUCGGAGGAAAGGGUGGGGAUGACGUCAAAUCAUCAUGCCCCU
rnacentral:rRNA from 1 species